rnacentral:lncRNA from 1 species
UCAAAGGCGGGCAUUAUGAAAGAGAGCGUAACAGUUGUGCUUGGGGCUCUGAACACUGAGCAUUUUGCAGCUUUGUAAACGAGUAAUAUCUUCACAAACAAAAAUUACACUGUGACCAGCGUAAUCAUUCAAAUUUCCAAAACAGCAUAGAAAAACUGCCAGUGAAAGCUCCUCUGGUGCAUCACUCAGACCGAAAGCUCUACGUGCAACUCCAGAACCUGCAGUAGUUCAUCAUCAGCUGAAAAGAGUCUUGCAGGAGUUUUAACCUUGCUGAGAACAAGCAAAAAGUAAAAAUUCUGAAGUGGGGCGAUGGGAGACUUGGCGCAGGUGAAGCGUGGCGAGGCACGGGGCGUUCAGCUGCUCGGCUGAAGCCGCAAUCAGGCCGCGCUUAGCCGCACCUGGGAGGAGCUGAUGAGGCGUGAGCGUGCGGAGCUCGUGGCACAAGAUGGCGGCGCGCCGGGGGCAGGGCGUGUGCUUCAGCCAGCGAGGAGCGAGUCUUGCAGCGGGGGGCAGCGCUACGUGGGGGAAUAUGUGUAAGGAAUAAUGCUGCUGCGCUAAACCUCAUGCCACUAUUUGUGUGAUACCGUGGGACUUCAGUGUUGCUGCAUUUCAGACCAGGUAAGGUCACUUCUCUUUCUCUCUCCCUGUUCAGUUAUCCCCAGCAUAUCUCAGUACUGAAUCAGCCAGACUGAGCCUGAGCAUGUUCUUGGUCCUUUGUCACACUGCUACCUGUGAUGUCCAGUAUUGUAGGAUCUGAUUAGGAGGUGGCAUGCGAAACAAACCUUUGCACCAUGUUUUCUCUGUGAAAAACCACAGACCAUUUUAGUGAUCUAAAACUGUGUGAUUAGUUUUAGUGCAACAAAUACUCUGUUUCCUGAGAUGAAGAGAGGAGCUGCAUUUUUGUCUGGGCUUUGUUCAUGAAGUAAUUUCAAGUGCUGGCAUCCUUAUUUAUAUUACUACUGAGGUUGAAAAAGGGCCAUGAGGAAGGAGUGGGGCUUUUCUAUUAGUAGUGUUUUGUCUGUUUUCUUGGCUCAAACCUAGGUACUCACACAGUUACAUUUUGCCACACAUGGUCACUCUGCCACGAAGAUAAAAACUUAAGAUGAAAAAUUAAGUCUUGACUGCUGUCUUAUGUUUGAUGACUGUAGAUGUUGUGUUCCUUCUUCCUAAGGGGAUGACAGUUGGCACUUCCUUGUUAAUUAACUAGUUUCAUUUUUGGCUUUAUUUUUGAUCAGCGAGCCCCAGAAACUUGUGUGUGCAAAGAUCAAUUUAAUUUUAUAAGCAUGGCAUAUUUAGUACUUUGCACUAAUUGGCUGUAGCUGAGAAGCUGCCCAGUCUGGUCAGUUUAGAUGUGACUUUGCAGUUGGGGAUGAUUUCGCUGUUGCUGUUCUGUUGAUGCUGUGUGAUGCUCUCUGGCUUAUCUUUAACCCUGGCA